CACAUGCCCCGGCACUGGGACCCAUUCAUGAGAAUGGAAUCUCAUAAAAAACGCAAAGGGAAUCUGGUGAAGCAAUUUGCUUCUUUUCCUUACACUGUAUCUUGGCUGUAAUAUUUUCUGACACUAGAAAUAAAUUAAUUUCAUGUUUAGGUUUCUCUUUCUACAUUCCCCUCCACUGGACCAAAAAGUGGUUUAGAUUAACUAGGUAUGAAAGGCCCAAAGAACACAAGGGUUUCCAUUGUGUAACUGCCGAAAGACAAAGGGCACAAAAAAUACAGAUGUUUUUGCCUUGCUGCUGCAAAAGUGUGGUGGACUAACUCCUUGUCUCUGGAAUGCAAAUUUUCUUUCACAGUUUAGCAGUCUUUUUUGGAUUUCAGCACAGUGAACUAACACUUUCCUGGAUUCCAAGACCUCCAGAGAACCAGAUGGAUGAGAGGAAUUGGGAAAAAGAACCCACACUGCUUGAAAAAGAUAAGAAGACUAAAACUUUGGAAGAUGUCUGUUUUAUUAGCACUCUGGGAAGCUGAGGCAGGAGGAUCAAGAGAAUUGAAGUGAUUUAUUUCAACCCUCCACUGAAACAGAGGAGGACUUUUCCUCUAUGGAUUGUGGAGAAGAGAGAAGGCAUUACAUACAUUGAGCCCUAAAAUAAAAGAGACAUUUCCAGCCUCUAGGUCUAGAAAAGGAAGCUUGGACUGCGAGGGAAGAAGAGAGACCAGAAAUGUUACCUCAGAUAAUUUGACGCUUUGGCUAUUUCACCACAGAGAGGCACAACACAGUGACUGCAGGAGCAACUAAGGGAAAUGAAGUAUUCAGAGGCCAGAGGAGGGGUUUCCAAAGCACCCCUGGAUCCUAGAGAUGACCGAACUGGGAAGAUCAUCUACCUAGCCCCACAAGACAGUUUCACUGAUGGUGAAACAGAUGUGGUGACAAAGUCGCUGGAUAUACUGUCAAGUUUUAGAGCAAGCCAUGUGAGCUUGCUUCUCAAGCCAUGGUGCCUCCUACCUCCACACAACAGUGAUAGAAAUGGUGGAAGAAUAAAGACCUAGAGACACAGGGAUGGGCUCAGCCGUCCAGGCUGGCAGCAGGAUGCCGUAGUACAUACACGAAGGCCCUUGCAACUGACCGAAGGUGGACUUCACCCACAUUUCCGCGACUUGUAUUCAUGAUGACAUUUAAAAGGCGGAGAAUAAACUAGUUAUAGUAUAUUCAUGGAAUGCGGCAUACCCAGGGAAUACUAGACAACAAAGAGAGGCAGAUGGUUGAUAUAAACAUGGACGAAUCUCAAAAACUGCACAUUGAAUGAAAGAGCCAGAGACCAAAAAAUAAAUACGGUAUACUUCCACCGUUAUCGCAAUUCAAACAACUAUGGUGUGAGAACUCUGAACGUAUUUGCCUGUGAGGCGGCAGGUGGGGCUGGACUGGUAAGAGUCACAGGGGGGUUUUCUGGAAUGAUACGUGAGCUAGGUAUUGUCUGCCUGCAGUAAAAUGAGAAAAUGCAAACAAACUAUUAAAGGUGAUACUGC